CCCUACGGGAGGCUGCAGUGGGGAAUAUUGGACAAUGGGCGCAAGCCUGAUCCAGCCAUGCCGCGUGAGUGAUGAAGGCCUUAGGGUUGUAAAGCUCUUUCGCCAGGGACGAUAAUGACGGUACCUGGAUAAGAAGCCCCGGCUAACUUCGUGCCAGCAGCCGCGGUAAUACGAAGGGGGCUAGCGUUGUUCGGAAUUACUGGGCGUAAAGCGUAUGCAGGCGGAUCGUUAAGUCGGGGGUGAAAUCCCGAGGCUCAACCUCGGAACUGCCUUCGAUACUGGCGAUCUUGAGUCCGGGAGAGGUGAGUGGAACUCCGAGUGUAGAGGUGAAAUUCGUAGAUAUUCGGAAGAACACCAGUGGCGAAGGCGGCUCACUGGCCCGGUACUGACGCUCAUGCACGAAAGCGUGGGGAGCAAACAGGAUUAGAUACCCGAGUAGUC
rnacentral:rRNA from 2 species